ACGGAAGGCAGCAGUGGGGAAUAUUGGGCAAUGGGGGAAACCCUGACCCAGCAACGCCGCGUGAAGGAAGAAGGCCUUCGGGUUGUAAACUUCUUUUACCAGGGACGAAGAAUGACGGUACCUGGAGCAAAAGCAACGGCUAACUACGUGCCAGCAGCCGCGGUAAUACGUAGGUUGCAAGCGUUGUCCGGAUUUACUGGGUGUAAAGGGCGUGUAGGCGGAGCUGCAAGUCAGAUGUGAAAUCCCGGGGCUCACCCCCGGAACUGCAUUUGAAACUGUAGCCCUUGAGUAUCGGAGAGGCAAGCGGAAUUCCUAGUGUAGCGGUGAAAUGCGUAGAUAUUAGGAGGGACACCAGUGGCGAAGGCGGCUUGCUGGACGACAACUGGCGUUGAGGCUCGAAAGCGUGGGGAGCAAACAGGAUUAGAUACCCUGGUA
rnacentral:rRNA from 1 species